CCCUGCCCUUUGUACACACCGCCCGUCGUUGCUACCGAUUGGCUGUGGGAUAGAGUUUGGGGGAGGGUGCUCAUUCUUGGCAACAAGCUUGGGCGUCCGAAUCCAAACAAUAUUUCUCAGCUAGAGGA
rnacentral:rRNA from 1 species